CCUACGGGGUGCAGCAGUGAGGAAUAUUGGUCAAUGGCCGGAAGGCUGAACCAGCCAAGCCGCGUGAAGGACGAAGGUGCCAAGCAUUGUAAACUUCUUUUGUCAAGGGACAAAAUCCGGCUCGAGAGCCUGACCGAGGGUACUUGAAGAACAAGCAUCGGCUAACUCCGUGCCAGCAGCCGCGGUAAUACGGAGGAUGCGAGCGUUAUCCGGAUUUAUUGGGUUUAAAGGGUGCGUAGUCGGGCUGUUAAGUCAGCGGUAAAAGCCCGGGGCUCAACCCCGGCGAGCCGUGGAAACUGGCUGGCUUGAGAGGGCGAGAGGUAUGCGGAAUGCGCAGUGUAGCGGUGAAAUGCUUAGAUAUUGCGCAGAACUCCGAUUGCGAAGGCAGCAUACCGGAGGCGAUCUGACGCUGAGGCACGAAAGCGUGGGUAUCGAACAGGAUUAGAUACCCCAGUAGUC
rnacentral:rRNA from 1 species